CGCGAGAGUUGGCAACUGUGGACGACACCAUUUUAUAUUCAGGCGACCGAGACGGUUUACAGUGUUAAGUUCGUGAGGUGUACAGAUGCAAUGUAACAUAAGCCUGAGUGAAAGCUUCUAAUGCGGGUUCGAUUUCCUGAAAUAAGAUCCUCUCGCCUUCAUUCCCGCCGAGGCCUAGCAGCCACAUUUGGGCGGUUUUCUACUCAGAGGAGAGAAUAAAUCAAAUGUCUGUAUCUGGUCAGAUGGUGGAUCAGCACCAAGAGAUGAUGUCUACAGCCCUGAUCGUUAGCGGAGACCAGGACACCUAGAUGAGCCCCAGAGACAUAUCCCCAAUGAAAACCUCGAUUGAAUACAAUAAAACUAAAAGAAAUAUAACAAAAUAACUAAAAUAUAAUAAAAUACCUAACUACAUAAUACUACUAUUGUUAGAAAUUGCAACAAAAUUAAAAUAGAAAUAUAAACUUUUGAACUGUGGGUUUCGUCUGUCCAGAGGAGAGCUGGCCCCCCGACUGAGCCUGGUUUCUCCCAAGGUUUUUUUUUCUCCAUUCUGUCACAGAGGGAGUUUUGGUUCCUUGCCGCUGUCGCCUCUGGCUUGCUCAGUUGGGGACACUUAAUUUCUAGCGAUUAUUGCCGAUUUGAUUGCACAGAAAAUAUUUAAACUUGACUUGACUUGAAAAACAUCUUCAAAAAGGUACAUUUCUGUCACUACCUAUUGUCUGCCUCAAAAUAUUGCCAGAUGUGUUUUAUAUGAAAUACUAAUAAAAAUAAAAUCAAUUGGAGAGCUGACCUUAAUUGUUAUUUUUGUCUUUGAUCUGCAGGCACUAAUAAGAAGAAUACCUUGUAGAGACCACACAGCCAUACCUGCUCACUGAUGGGACAACGAGCAUUCAUGGAUGCUACACAACUGUCGACAAGUAUCUUGCUGCAGUCUUGUUCAAAUCUACCUGUCAUACUUGUAAAUUUGAUGAUUUUAUGUGUUUUAUUAACUAAUUUAUGUUUCCGUGCAACACUUAAUGAAUGUGACUGACUAAUUAACCUCUACACAUCUGGUAUAUGCUUUAAAGUUUCCACUUUGCCCAUUUGUUAAAUAAA